AUACGAGGGGUGUAAGCGUUAUUCGGAAUUACUGGGCGUAAAGGGUGCGUAGACGGCGCAUUAAGUCUGUUGUUAAAUUUUUCGGCCUAACCGGGAAGCUGCAAUGGAAACUGAUGUGCUAGAGAAUGCGAGAGAGAAGUGGAAUUCCCGGAGUAGCGGUAAAAUGCGUGGAUCUCGGGAGGAACACCAAUGGCGAAGGCAGCUUCUUGGCUCAUUCCUGACGCUGAGACACGAAAGCGUGGGGAGCAAACAGAAGUAGAAACCCCUGUAGUCC
rnacentral:rRNA from 1 species